GUGGGGAAUAUUGCGCAAUGGGGGAAACCCUGACGCAGCGACGCCGCGUGAAGGAAGAAGGUCUUCGGAUUGUAAACUUCUUUGGUCGGGGACGAAAAAAAUGACGGUACCCGAUAAAAAAGCCACGGCUAACUACGUGCCAGCAGCCGCGGUAAUACGUAGGUGGCAAGCGUUGUCCGGAAUUACUGGGUGUAAAGGGCGUGUAGGCGGGGAUGCAAGUCAGAUGUGAAACCCCACAGCUUAACUGUGGGCUUGCAUCUGAAACUGUAUUUCUUGAGUGUUGGAGAGGGAAGUGGAAUUCCUAGUGUAGCGGUGAAAUGCGUAGAGAUUAGGAGGAACACCAGUGGCGAAGGCGACUUCCUGGCCAACAACUGACGCUGAGGCGCGAAAGCGUGGGGAGCAAACAGGAUUAGAAACCCUAGUAGUCC
rnacentral:rRNA from 1 species